rnacentral:rRNA from 1 species
AUUGAACGCUGGCGGCAUGCUUUACACAUGCAAGUCGAACGGCAGCGCGGGCUUCGGCCUGGCGGCGAGUGGCGAACGGGUGAGUAAUGCAUCGGAACGUGCCCAGUCGUGGGGGAUAGCCCGGCGAAAGCCGGAUUAAUACCGCAUACGACCUGAGGGUGAAAGCGGGGGACCGAAAGGCCUCGCGCUAUUGGAGCGGCCGAUGUCGGAUUAGCUAGUUGGUGGGGUAAAGGCUUACCAAGGCGACGAUCCGUAGCUGGUCUGAGAGGACGACCAGCCACACUGAGACUGAGACACGGCCCAGACUCCUACGGGAGGCAGCAGUGGGGAAUUUUGGACAAGGGGGGCAACCCUGAUCCAGCCAUGCCGCGUGCGGGAAGAAGGCCUUCGGGUUGUAAACCGCUUUUGUUCGGGAAGAAAUCCUCUGGGCUAAUACCCCGGGGGAUGACGGUACCGGAAGAAUAAGCACCGGCUAACUACGUG